rnacentral:rRNA from 1 species
UACGUAGGGUGCGAGCGUUAAUCGGAAUUACUGGGCGUAAAGCGUGCGUAGGCGGUCCGCAAAGUCUGAUGUGAAAGCCCCGGGCUCAACCUGGGAACUGCAUUGGAAACUAGCGGGCUCGAGUGUGGCAGAGGGGGGUGGAAUUCCACGUGUAGCAGUGAAAUGCGUAGAGAUGUGGAGGAACACCGAUGGCGAAGGCAGCCCCCUGGGCUAACACUGACGCUCAUGCACGAAAGCGUGGGGAGCAAACAGG